GUGUUCACUUUGCCAGCACAUCUACUAAAAUUGAAAUGAUAGAAAGAUUAACAUGCUCCCUGAGCAGGGAUAACACUUAAACUCACGAGGUGUUCCUUAUUCCU